UGUAAAGGACAAGUUAAAAAAAGAGUUAACCUAAGCUGAACAAACUUACUACUUACCUUAUAAAUAGGCCUAUUGGAAGUUGAAACACAGUUAACGAUCCAAAUACCUUCUAUUGCCGUCAUAAAUAUGUAUAUUUAUGUGUGAAAGUUACCUCAGAGUGCAAAAUUAUGCAAAGCUUCCUCAUCUCCGAAGUUUACUCAGCCCGCGUACUUCAAACAGCAGCACCUGUUCUGCGCAUGCGCAAUUUGCGAAUUGGCUUUAAGUUUAGCAUUUUUUAAUUAUAAUUAUAAAACGGACUAAAUUAUCAAACACAAUUAACUAGUCGUCCGUCUUAAUUUUUCUACAACUACAUGCAAAUUUUUGUCUUAUCGCCCAUCUUUAACCAACAAUAAUUAUCAUCGCUUCCAGCUGUGGACAUGCCGGGAAACAGUAAGAUUCAUAAAUGUCCGUUUCCAUGGAAACUACAACUGCAAGCAGCGCGUGCAAGCUUUUCAGGAAGAAGCUUGCGGCUUGUUCGAGGAUUUGGAGUUAAUCCAUAACAAGCACAACUAUAUCAUCCCCACAACGGACGCACAUCAUUGUCAAAAUAUAUGCUAACGGGGUUGGGGGACGGACCGCUAGGAGAGAGGCUUUGACCAGAAAGGCAUAUGGGGGUCAAGGAUGAUUCAUGACCUCUAUGUCAGUACAAAUAACCAAGGCCAAUUCAAUGCCAUUUAUUCCCUGGAGAAAUGCUCAACAGUCUACCAUCCGUGUACUGAUAUGAUGCCUCCUGCGAGCUGACUCAUAAGAUCCGAGCACCGGAUUGUGUUAAACAAAUGAACAUAAUCUGGUUUAAUGUAUCUGGCAGACAGAACACAAAAGUAUUGAGCAAACAGAAUUGGACUCGGAGACACAAAGCCUGAUGGAGUUCUCUCAUGGGAUCCACUUACAGUCUGAUGGCAAGCCUCAGUUGAUUACUACAUGCUCUUUAGUUUUAUUUCAUUUCCCACAUCGAUAAUUAUGCAAAACAUAAGCAUCUUUUACUUAGCAGGAUGACCAGCCCUCUGAUGGGUCGCCUGAACAAAGAUAACAAUGUGAUAAGGGUUUGUGGGAGAUACUGAAAGACUUAAAGGUCAACUGUGAGCAAGUGUUUAAAUGUCUUUCUUUGUCUAUCUCUUUAAAUAAAGUCUGGCCAUUGAAAAGCUUUUGAGAAUUCCCUUUGGUAUGGUAGACACAUAUUCCAUUAAUAGAAAUCUGACGCACACACGAUUAAUUUUUCAAGAAACUUCUCUUCGGCCUCUUCUGUAGUCCACAGAUGCUUUAGAUGCUUUCGCAGCGUCUCUUAAAUGUAGCCGGUGCUAAACUUUUACAUUUUCUAAUAAUCCACAGCAGUUGAGAUCAAACACCAUUUUGAAUCUUUCACUAAUGAAUUACCAAGUAAAAGUGAUGUGAUUGUCAAGUAUUUACAUACCUAAAUAUUAGUAGUCCAGAGUACACAAACUGCACCUCUGUUGUCAUUGAGUGCAUUUACAUGCAC